GCUGCGGGCUGGAGGUUACGUAACGGCGGCUGCGUGCGCCGCGGCUCGAGCUCUGCCUCCGCGGAGGCCUGGGCCCUCGUGGCUGCUUUCGGCGCUGCCUGACUCCCUCUCUGCUGUUGCUUUUGUGCCAGAUUUUUUUUUUUUUUUUAACCAAGUCAAAGCCUCAAACAUUGAAUCACCGAUUGAAGAAAGGGGAUGGGGAACAGCAGUCUUAGAUGAUGUGAAUAAAUAAGAGGGCACAGUUGGGGACUUGAUAUUUUGCACUUCCUCGGCUCUCUACUCUCAGUCCAACAGGGUUUGGAAAUGGGGACGUUCCGUGAACUGCUGUAAAGUGCAUAUGAGACGACAAGGAUGCUUCUAUCACUACUUAUAUUCAUUGAAGGUUCUGGCAGUGGGUGAAUCCUGUUCUGAGAAGCUUUGUGACGUGAGGUUUGAAAAAGAAUCCAAUAGAACCUCUACAGACUUCAUUCAAGAAUCCUCUUUGACUCCAGAAGAAGAGGGUAAGAGAUUAUGCUUCAUACCCCUUUCUGGAGUCUCUUCAUGAGGAAGUCGGAGCCUCCAGGCUUUUGUCCUAGGCUUGGAUAUUUGGCCUUUAGCUUUGCCUCCUCAGCUCUCUCAGGGAGAAUACCUUCUUUCUCCUGUGUGUCCUGGAGGAAACAAAUGAGCCAAAUAAAAUUAAAGACUGAGAAACAACUGCUUCUAAUAACCCUUAAGCCAUGAACUUUCCCUGGAGAUUCACCCACUUGUAAACAUGCUAUCUCUACUUUGCUGUUAAAGCUAGACCUUAGUUCAAAUCCCUAAAGCUCAAGAUGACUCUAUUGUGAGAAGAAAAAGACAAGCUGCUUCUCACACUCCACCCAAGGAACCACGCCAGUGACCUGUGAGUAUUGGGUUAAAGGUAAUACCUAAACAGAAUACUUUAAUCAAAGAGCGGGCCAUAGCUCACUCAGCACAGAUGCUAAGAAAAGAGCUAGCCAGGGCUUCUGGUGAUACAAGAUGAGUAGGAGGGUUCCCUAGGUUGACCUACAAGUUAAAUUGGAAAUCAAAGGGAAUAAGUUUGCUAGAUGUUUCCUGCUUAUUCAGAGUUUAAGAUAGCCAUCUGCUAAGUCUCCCUGUGGAGGAGGCUAGCUAUGUGGCCUUUCCCAAAGAUCUCUACCUGAGUAAUGACACAACACUGAUUCAAAAUUUCCAUAAAUAUUGCGGCAGGAAGGUGAUCAGUAAAUAGAUGAAAAUGACACUGUUUUUAACUUAAGGAAAAUAAAGAUACAGUAAAUUCACUAGUUUUUACCCACCAGUUUUAACCAAAAUAUCAAUACCUACUCUAGUGGGGCAAGUGAUGGGGAAGCUUGGGGAAAUGCCAAAAGCUCAAUUGGCUUGCAGGGGUUCUCACUAUUGUCAAUCUCUUCUUGCUUUUUGUGGGCUCUGAUGUCCUUUUCACUAGCAGCUUUUUUUUUUCUUUUUUUAGACACAGGGUCUGCUCUGCCACCCAGGCUGGAG